UUCACGGCCAUGUUAAUAUUUCGGAUCGAAUUAACGCCAUCUCUUGAUUGGAAUGGGAACUAAAUUGACAAAUUUUAGUUACGUGGGAAUUUCAAAUUAUAAAUUUUGCGGGAUUUUUGAUGAAAUUUCGCAGGAAAUUAAAACAACAGAAAGACAAUUCAAUGUUUUAUUCAAUGUUUUACUGAAAACUUCAAAUAUUCCAAUUUGUUUUCAAAAUGCUAUAAACACUACUGCCAUGUGUCACGUGAAAGCACUGAUGUGUAAUAUUGAGUUGAAUGAAAAUUUUUGAAAUAAUCUUGUAGGAUGAUUGUUUAGAUAAAUACCUUAGAUCUAAUCUUUCACAAACUUCCAAAAAUAUAUAGGCCCGAAAUGUUGAUGACACACUUGUAUAUUGGAAUAAACUGUUCCAGGAUCUAUUAUAUUGUUUUUUUAAAUGUGGAGAAACACAACACGGGAUGAUCAAUGUAAACUAAAAAUUCUACUCACAAAAACGGAGAGGAGGUUAAUACAAUUGAUUAAAAUUGUGAUUAAAUCUAAUUAAAAACGUAACACCACUAUAAUAAAAUAUUUAAGCCACAAACUGUAAAAUAAAAAGUAAAUAACAAAUUAAUUUAAUUGUCAACUGUCAGUUGUUAAAUAUGACAAGAGAAUUGACUGACAGCGACAUCUCUGGAUUGGAAUGGUAACUAAUUUGCUGUCUUGACCACAAACCAUACAUACUUAUACCCUAACAACACACAACAUUCCAGGAAUGUACUACCAAAGUUCUAUCAAUAUUUGAAUGUCCUGGACAUUUAGGGAACAUUCGGUGAACAUCUGAUUAAAUUAUUCCUGGAAUGUUACCAUAAGACAUUCUGUGAACAUACUACCAAUGUUCCUAUAUUUUAAGUUGCGAAAUAAUACAUACGUGUAAGAGAUACAACAUUACUUAUAACAUACCAGACAAACUAAGUGACAUUUUAGGCCUACAGUGCAAUAAUAUGUCAAAUUUAAAGAGUUUCCCAAGUUCAAUGAAUACAAUAUUAUAAACAUACAAAUGUAAUAAAAAUUAUUGUUCGCGAAUAUUCAAUUUGGAAUGCGAUUUUGUUAAUAAAAAAAAUACUUAUAACUUAUGCAAAACCCAAGCGAGGCAUUUAUAUUUAUUUCUUUUGCGUUCAUUUUCAAAUUCGCCGUGCAUAUAUUUUUGUGCAUGGCGCUUGAGAGGGAAUCACGUGACUAAAAACGACCAACCAACGACCUCGCUUCGGCCAUCUUGGCAUCUUCAUCUUGGCGACCUUGCCGUUGCCCGGCCUUGCCUUGCCGUGGAUUGUUGUUUGUAUUUUGUAUUAUUUGUGCUUUUUAAGAAUAUUUUUUUAAUUCGGAUACUUUUAUAAUAGCUUUAAUAGUAUUAUUAACAUAGUGCAUAAAAUGGUGUCCUGUUUUUAACGCAGUUGGAGUAGCAGAAACAAAUGUAGAUAAAAAAAUCUGCAGGAAUAACGUUUCAAUUAUGACAGAAGCUCAAAACAAAUGACUGUGAAUGAAAAGCCCUAUUAAAAGCUUUCCAGAAGAUCCUGCGAAGAAGACAAGAAAGUAUAGAUUAGAUUUGUUAAUAGAGGAGUAUGUUCAAAACACUUUUUAGAAAAAGAUAUUGACAGAACUUCACUUUCAUCUGUUCGUUUGAGAGACUGUGCUGUUCCAAUAGCUUAUGUCACACAGAAUCAGCUGAGAGAAGUGGUCUACAAAAAACCAGAAAGGAAACGGAAUAUGUGGCUACGAAAAGCAAAAGAAAGGUUUACAAAGCAAAUCUGACACAUUUUUUAAUAAUAUUUAGGAAUGUCAGCAAAUUACAUUAAAAAAUGUAUGUAAAGAUUUUUUGCAAUAAAAAUGUUUAUAUUUA